UCGAACGAUAUAGUGGCGAACGGGUGAGUAACACGUAAGCAACCUACCCUUAAGACCGGCAUAACCAGCCGAAAGGUUGGCUAAUUCCGGAUGUGGCCAUCGGGAGACCUCUCCUGAUGAUUAAAUCCAGAAAUGGGCUUAAGGAUGGGCUUGCGGCUUAUCAGCUAGUUGGUGAGGUAAUGGCUCACCAAGGCAAUGACGAGUAGCUGGUCUGAGAGGAUGACCAGUCACAAGGGAACUGAGACACGGUCCCUACUCCUACGGGAGGCAGCAGUGAGGAAUUUUCCGCAAUGGGCGAAAGCCUGACGGAGCGACGCCGUGUGUGGGAUGACGUCUUUCGGGAUGUAAACCACUGUCAGGGGGGAAGAUAUUGACGGUACCCCCAGAGGAAGCCCCGGCUAACUACGUGCCAGCAGCCGCGGUAAUACGUAGGGGGCGAGCGUUGUCCGGAAUCAUUGGGCGUAAAGGGCAUGUAGGCUGUCUUGCAAGUCAGAUGUUAAAUCUAUAGGCUCAACCUAUAGCCGCAUUUGAUACUGCUUGACUAGAGAAUGGUAGAGGAAAGCGGAACUUCCGGUGUAGCGGUGAAAUGCGUAGAUAUCGGAAGGAACACCAGUGGCGAAGGCGGCUUUCUGGGCCAUUUCUGACGCUGAGAUGCGAAAGCUAGGGGAGCAAACGGGAUUAGAUACCCCGGUAGUCCUAGCCCUAAACGAUGUUCACUGGUGUUAAAGGUAUCGACCCCUUUAGUGCCGCAGCUAACGCGUUAAGUGAACCGCCUGGGAA
rnacentral:rRNA from 1 species